rnacentral:rRNA from 1 species
GACGAACGCUGGCGGCGUGCUUAACACAUGCAAGUCGAACGGAAAGGCCCUGCUUUUGUGGGGUGCUCGAGUGGCGAACGGGUGAGUAGCACGUGAGUAACCUGCCCUUGACUUUGGGAUAACUUCAGGAAACAGGGGCUAAUACCGGAUAGGAGCUCCUGCUGCAUGGUGGGGGUUGGAAAGUUUCGGCGGUUGGGGAUGGACUCGCGGCUUAUCAGCUUGUUGGUGGGGUAGUGGCUUACCAAGGCUUUGACGGGUAGCCGGCCUGAGAGGGUGACCGGCCACAUUGGGACUGAGAUACGGCCCAGACUCCUACGGGAGGCAGCAGUGGGGAAUAUUGCACAAUGGGCGGAAGCCUGAUGCAGCAACGCCGCGUGCGGGAUGACGGCCUUCGGGUUGUAAACCGCUUUCGCCUGUGACGAAGCGUGAGUGACGGUAAUGGGUAAAGAAGCACCGGCUAACUACGUG